UACGUAGGGUGCAAACGUUGCUCGGAAUUACUGGGCGUAAAGGGCGCGUAGGCGGCUCAUUAAGUCGGAUGUGAAAACUCUGGGCUCAACCCAGAGCCUGCAUUCGAAACUGAUGAGCUAGAGUUCUGGAGGGGAAAGCGGAAUUCCUGGUGUAGCGGUGAAAUGCGUAGAUAUCAGGAGGAACACCGGUGGCGAAGGCGGCUUUCUGGACAGAAACUGACGCUGAGGCGCGAAAGCUAGGGGAGCAAACAGG
rnacentral:rRNA from 1 species